rnacentral:pre_miRNA from 7 species
UUUCAAGGAUUGAACUUGUAAUACCCCCUUUGGGACCCCCACUCUAGUCUCGGGAGAGAGAGAGCACCCAAAGAAACAGGAGAAUCC